rnacentral:rRNA from 1 species
AGGAUGAACGCUAGCGACAGGCUAACACAUGCAAGUCGAGGGGCAGCAUAAAAGUAGCAAUACUUGGUGGCGACCGGCGCACGGGUGAGUAACGCGUAUGCAACCUACCUAUCAGAGGGGAAUAACCCGGCGAAAGUCGGACUAAUACCGCAUAAAACAGGGACACCGCAUGGUGAUAUUUGUUAAAGAAAUUCGCUGAUAGAUGGGCAUGCGUUCCAUUAGGUAGUUGGUGAGGUAACGGCUCACCAAGCCGACGAUGGAUAGGGGAACUGAGAGGUUGGUCCCCCACACUGGUACUGAGACACGGACCAGACUCCUACGGGAGGCAGCAGUGAGGAAUAUUGGUCAAUGGGCGAGAGCCUGAACCAGCCAAGUCGCGUGAAGGAAGAAGGAUCUAUGGUUCGUAAACUUCUUUUGCAGGGGAAUAAAGUGCAGGACGUGUCCUGUUUUGUAUGUACCCUGAGAAUAAGGAUCGGCUAACUCCGUGCCAGCAGCCGC